rnacentral:tRNA from 1 species
UCUAUUUUGACAGAUUAAUGUGUUAAAUUUAGGAUUUAUUUAUGUAAAAGUUUACAAAUAGAA